GACGAACGCUGGCGGCGUGCUUAACACAUGCCAGUCGAACGGAAAGGCCCUGCUUUUGUGGGGUGCUCGAGUGGCGAACGGGUGAGUAACACGUGAGUAACCUGCCCUUGACUUUGGGAUAACUUCAGGAAACUGGGGCUAAUACCGGAUAGGAGCUCCUGCUGCAUGGUGGGGGUUGGAAAGUUUCGGCGGUUGGGGAUGGACUCGCGGCUUAUCAGCUUGUUGGUGGGGUAGUGGCUUACCAAGGCUUUGACGGGUAGCCGGCCUGAGACGGUGACCGGCCACAUUGGGACUGAGAUACGGCCCAGACUCCUACGGGAGGCAGCAGUGGGGAAUAUUGCACAAUGGGCGGAAGCCUGAUGCAGCAACGCCGCGUGCGGGAUGACGGCCUUCGGGUUGUAAACCGCUUUCGCCUGUGACGAAGCGUGAGUGACGGUAAUGGGUAAAGAAGCACCGGCUAACUACGUG
rnacentral:rRNA from 1 species